rnacentral:lncRNA from 1 species
AAAAAAACUAUGCAUUUUUACAUUUAUAUAAAAGUAUUUCAGAGCAGUUUCUGGGGGCUAAGUCAACAAUUAUGGUUUAGAUCACAAGUCAAAAUUAAGUCACACUUCAUGUCAGUAUGAUAAUGCUUUGAAUAAGAUUGAUUAAAAUGAUAAUCUGAAAGAGAUUGUUUGAAGGCAGCAACCAUUUGUUUUCAGGGAGGGGGGAACUAUGGAUUUUUUUCCAGACAAGUUGAAAACAAUUCUUCUCUUUCAAUUUUAGCAUUUCAUUUAAUGGCAGCUGAGGGUAAAACAAACAUUUUUUUUUCUCAGGGUCAAAAACAAAUUAUUUUUUAUCCAAAAAUUGGAAACAAACUUUUUUUCUUCAAAACAAUCAAUAGCCACCACCCCCUACCCCCUACCAGAAAAUCAAAUGGUUGUUGGCUGCCUAAGUUGAAAUUUAGGACAAUACUUUCUCAUUUACUUUUGCAGGAUUCCUUUAUCACAAAAAAAAAUAUUAUUUUAAACAACGAAUGUGUUUUAUGUCAGUGCAUCUAAAGCAGUUAAGGUUGUGCAAAGACAGUAUAAGAUUUCCUUACCUUGGUUUAGUUAAGUCAUACAUUUCACUGACUUAAAGAAAAAUUAAUCCAGUCAAAUAUUCACAGCUGAUCUCGCCAUUACUUUUUCAAACAAACAUACUAAAUGUGUGUACAUUGACUGUGUUCAGAUGCCAGGUGACAUCGAUGUGUAAGACCGAAAAACUACAAUGUCAAAAAAUGUCUUUCUUUUGGAAUUUAGUUCAAACGGGGUUUCCCAAGGGGUAAUAGAACGUUAUACUUUAUGAUUUUUUAAAAUUUUGAGAUACGUAUUAUUAAUUGUUUGUAUAGUACAUAUAGUCUUUGUUAAUCUGUGAAAAAUAGAAGAAAAUAAUUUUAAACGACGAUCAACGGCAUUACGGGAUCGUUAAAACACGGCCAAUUUGACAUGUUUGAGAUUUUUUUUCCUUUUGAUAAUAAACUCCAUGCUCAACAAAUCGAAAUAAAUCUAUUUCAGACCCUAAUGGCAAGUAGGAAACUGAAAAAAAAGAUAAACUUCCAAAUUGGCG